GAGUUCUUAUCCGAUUCUCACACCAAAUUUUAACCUGUACGCAAAAUAAUCCCAAAACCAAAAUAAUAUGCGACGUCAAUUCACUGAGGUUGUCUCAUUUACUUAUUUAUCUGGGUAAUCCAAAUUUAGUGAAAAAUUAAAUAUUCCUUUGGUCAAAAGGAUUAACAUUUCCAUUCAAGCCCUCCUAACUACCAACUCUAAUUUAUAAAGAACGCGAAGUUUAAUCUGCUUACUCUUAUUGAGGGACGAGGUGGGGUGCCU
rnacentral:misc_RNA from 1 species